rnacentral:rRNA from 1 species
AUUGAACGCUGGCGGCAUGCCUUACACAUGCAAGUCGAACGGCAGCACGGGAGCUUGCUCCUGGUGGCGAGUGGCGAACGGGUGAGUAAUAUAUCGGAACGUGCCCAGUCGUGGGGGAUAACGUAGCGAAAGCUACGCUAAUACCGCAUACGAUCUAUGGAUGAAAGCGGGGGAUCGCAAGACCUCGCGCGAUUGGAGCGGCCGAUAUCAGAUUAGGUAGUUGGUGAGGUAAAGGCUCACCAAGCCGACGAUCUGUAGCUGGUCUGAGAGGACGACCAGCCACACUGGAACUGAGACACGGCCCAGACUCCUACGGGAGGCAGCAGUGGGGAAUUUUUGGACAAUGGGCGCAAGCCUGAUCCAGCAAUGCCGCGUGCAGGAUGAAGG